rnacentral:rRNA from 1 species
UACGUAGGGACCGAGCGUUGUCCGGAAUCAUUGGGCGUAAAGAGCGUGUAGGCGGCCUUUUAAGUCCUGCGUGAAAUCCUGCGGCUCAACCGCAGACGGUCGUGGGAAACUGGAAGGCUAGAGUGCGGGAGAGGAGAGUGGAAUUCCCGGUGUAGCGGUGAAAUGCGCAGAUAUCGGGAGGAACACCAGUGGCGAAGGCGGCAUCCUGGACCGGUAUUGACGCUGAGGCGCGAAAGCCAGGGGAGCAAACGGG